UACGGAGGGUGCGAGCGUUGUCCGGAAUCAUUGGGCGUAAAGGGCGCGUAGGUGGCCCGGUCAGUUCGUGGUGAAAGCGCGGGGCUCAACCCUGCGUCGGCCAUGAAUACUGCCGCGGCUGGAGCACUGUAGAGGCAGGCGGAAUUCCGGGUGUAGCGGUGGAAUGCGUAGAGAGUCCGGAAGAACACCGGUGGCGAAGGCGGCCUGCUGGGCAGUUGCUGGACACUGAGGCGCGACAGCGUGGGGAGCAAACAGG
rnacentral:rRNA from 1 species